rnacentral:rRNA from 1 species
UCCGUAGGUGGCAAGCGUUGUCCGGAUUUACUGGGCGUAAAGAGCGCGCAGGCGGUCGUUUAAGUCGAAUGUGAAAGCCCCCGGCUCAACUGGGGAGGGUCAUUCGAUACUGAUCGACUUGAAGGCAGGAGAGGGAAGUGGAAUUCCGGGUGUAGUGGUGAAAUGCGUAGAUAUCCGGAGGAACACCAGUGGCGAAGGCGGCCUGCUGGGCAGUUGCUGACACUGAGGCGCGACAGCGUGGGGAGCAAACAGG